UACGAAGGGUGCAAGCGUUAUCCGGAAUUACUGGGCGUAAAGCGUGCGUAGGCGGUUUGUUAAGUCCGCUGUGAAAGCCCUGGGCUCAACCUGGGAAUUGCAGUGGAUACUGGCAAGCUAGAGUGCGGUAGAGGAUGGUGGAAUUCCCGGUGUAGCGGUGAAAUGCGCAGAUAUCAGGAAGAACACCAAUGGCGAAGGCAGCUCUCUGGGACGGUACUGACGCUGAGGCGCGAAAGCGUGGGGAGCGAACAGG
rnacentral:rRNA from 1 species